CCAUAACACCCCAUUCACUUCUCACCUCUCACUCAAAUAAACCCUAACUAUGAAUCCUUUUUAACGAUUUAUACUUUUGUAUAUUGGCAGGGCGUUGCUCCACUUUCUCGAUUCUUCAAUAACAAGGAUGAAUUCGUGCAGAACUACAAGAAUCUCAGCUCAUUUAAUGAGAUUGAGGUUUCCCUUUUGAACAUUGUGGUGAGUUGAAGAAAUGCUGUAAUCAUCCAUUCCUGUUUGAAAGUGCUGACCAUGGUUAUGCUGGAGACUCUGCAACAGCAGACACAGUAAGCAUUUUUGACUCUGACUGUAAUCCUCAAAAUGAUCUCCAGAAAAGGUUGAACAGAAAGGUGCUGAAGAUGAGGCAGAACAUGAAUUACUGAGUGCAUUUAAGGCAAUAAUAUCACAAUUAUGAAAAUUCUUUUCUUUCCAUUGUUAUAUUUGAAUAUUACAUUAUUCUUAUUGUAGAAGUGUAAGUUGUUUUUUGUUAUGGAUGAUAUUGCUCUUAUUGGCUAGAAUUUUUAAAAUAUGUUGUUGUUAUAAUAGAAGAAAUGAAAGUCUGAUGUUUUAAUAAGCAAA